ensembl:misc_RNA Metazoa_SRP Metazoan signal recognition particle RNA
GCACUUCUAAAUAAAAGUAUAAUUAAUAGUGCUGGUAUUCGUCUCUGAAUCGUCUUGCCAAGGAACUGAACACUGGUGUGGUUUAAAAUACAGCCUUGUAAAGGGCGUCUGCAUUAAGUUCAGCAUCAAUAUAGUGAACUUCUGGGAGAGGGGGACCACCAGGUCGCCCUAGGAGAGGUGAAUCUGCCCAGAUUGGAAAUGGAGCAGAUCAAAACAUUCAUGCUGAUCAGUAGCGAGAUUGCUCCUGUGAAUAGCCACUGCACUCCAGCCUGGGCAACAUAGCAAACCCCAUCCCU